AAGUCGUAACAAGGUUUCCGUAGGUGAACCUGCGGAAGGAUCAUUACCAAGUUUAAUCCAAAAACACUCAACCCAUGUGCACUAUGAUUUGUCUGUCUUUGGGGUGGAAAGAAUCUAGAGGGUCUAAUUUAUUUGGCCACUAGCUGAUUUCGCCCCACAUUUGUAAACAUCCUUUUUAUUUUUCUAUUGGAAUCUUACUUGUCUUAAUAAACAAUAGACAACUUUUAACGGUGGAUCUCUUGGCUCGUG
rnacentral:misc_RNA from 1 species